rnacentral:rRNA from 1 species
GUAGGUGGCAAGCGUUGUCCGGAAUUAUUGGGCGUAAAGCGCGCGCAGGUGGUUCUUUAAGUCUGAUGUGAAAGCCCCCGGCUCAACCGGGGAGGGUCAUUGGAAACUGGGGAACUUGAGUGCAGGAGAGGAAAGUGGAAUUCCACGUGUAGCGGUGAAAUGCGUAGAUAUGUGGAGGAACACCAGUGGCGAAGGCGACUUUCUGGCCUGUAACUGACACUGAGGCGCGAAAGCGUGGGGAGCAAACAGGGAUUAGAUACCCUGGUAGUCCACGCCGUAAACGAUGAGUGCUAAGUGUUGGGGGGGUUUCCCGCCCCUCAGUGCUGCAGCUAACGCAUUAAGCACUCCGCCUGGGGAGUACGGUCGCAAGACUG